AUUGAACGCUGGCGGCAUGCCUUACACAUGCAAGUCGAACGGCAGCACGGGAGCAAUCCUGGUGGCGAGUGGCGAACGGGUGAGUAAAGUAUCGGAACGUGCCCAGUCGUGGGGGAUAACGUAGCGAAAGUUACGCUAAUACCGCAUACGAUCUAUGGAUGAAAGCGGGGGAUCGCAAGACCUCGCGCGAUUGGAGCGGCCGAUAUCAGAUUAGGUAGUUGGUGGGGUAAAGGCUCACCAAGCCGACGAUCUGUAGCUGGUCUGAGAGGCAGACCGGCCACACUGGGACUGAUUCACGGCCCAGACUCGUACGGGAGGCAGCAGUGGGGAAUUUUGGACAAUGGGCGAAAGCAUGAUCCAGCAAUGCCGCGUGCAGGAUGAAGGCGUUCGGGUUGUAAACUGCUUUUGUACAGAACGAAAAGGUUUGGGCUAAUAAGCUGAGCUCAUGACGUUACCGUAAGAAUAAGCACCGGCUAACUACGUGCCAGCAGCCGCCGUAA
rnacentral:rRNA from 1 species